GUGCCAGCAGCCGCGGUAAUACGGAGGGUGCGAGCGUUGCUCGGAAUCACUGGGCGUAAAGCGUACGCAGGCUGUCUCGUAAGUCGGGUGUGAAAGCCCGGGGCUCAACCCCGGAAUUGCGCCCGAGACUGCGGGGCUUGAAUGCGGGAGAGGGAAGCGGAAUUCCUGGUGUAGAGGUGAAAUUCGUAGAUAUCAGGAGGAACACCGGUGGCGAAAGCGGCUUCCUGGCCCGACAUUGACGCUCAUGUACGAGAGCGUGGGGAGCAAACAGGAUUAGAUACCCUGGUAGUCC
rnacentral:rRNA from 1 species